GCUGCCGUAGCUCAGUGGUAGAGCACUCCAUUGGUAAUGGAGAGGUCCACAGUUCGACCCUGUGUGGCAGCACCA
rnacentral:tRNA from 9 species